rnacentral:rRNA from 1 species
GACGUAGGGUGCAAGCGUUGUCCGGAUUUACUGGGCGUAAAGAGCGCGUAGGCGGUCUGUUAAGUGUGGUGUGAAAUCUCCAGGGCUCAACCCGGAAACUGCACCGCAUACUGGCAGACUGGAGGAAUGCAGAGGUGAGUGGAAUUCCUGGUGUACCGGUGAAAUGGGUAGAUAUCAGGAGGAACACCAGUGGCGAAAGCGGCUACCUGGCCCACUCUUGACGCUGAGGCGCGAAAGCUAGGGGAGCAAACGGG